rnacentral:rRNA from 1 species
UACGGAGGAUCCAAGCGUUAUCCGGAUUCAUUGGGUUUAAAGGGUGCGUAGGCGGAAUGAUAAGUCAGUGGUGAAAGCCUGUUGCUUAACAACAGAACUGCCAUUGAUACUGUCAAUCUUGAGUACAUUUGAUGUGGGCGGAAUGUGUCAUGUAGCGGUGAAAUGCUUAGAUAUGACACAGAACACCGAUUGCGAAGGCAGCUCACAAAACUGUAACUGACGCUGAGGCACGAAAGCGUGGGUAUCAAACAGG